UACGUAGGGUGCAAGCGUUGUCCGGAAUUAUUGGGCGUAAAGAGCUUGUAGGCGGUUUGUCGCGUCUGCUGUGAAAUUUCGGGGCUCAACCCCGAACUUGCAGUGGGUACGGGCAGACUAGAGUGUGGUAGGGGAGACUGGAAUUCCUGGUGUAGCGGUGGAAUGCGCAGAUAUCAGGAGGAACACCGGUGGCGAAGGCGGGUCUCUGGGCAGUGACUGACGCUGAGGAGCGAAAGCGUGGGGAGCAAACAGG
rnacentral:rRNA from 1 species